rnacentral:lncRNA from 1 species
CAACUUUUAGCCGGCAGCCCCGACCAGCGCGGCACCUGUCUCCGGAGUCUCCACCGCUCCUCCCGAUUCAUCCCAGGGAAAUUCUCAAGAAUACGCUCUACAAAUCUACGUGCGCAUCAUUUUCACCUCGCGUCGCGCCCGGGAGGAAGGAACGAGGCAAGGAGCUAAAGCAGCGUGCGUUCAGCCCUGGGGCAUUUUAUUAAUGCUUUUACGAGUUAGAAGAGUUGGGAUAAUUUGCCAUCUGGAGUUUCUCUGCCUUGCUGAUCUGAGCUCAGACCUGCCAAUUUACCAGAGAUGAUUGAUAACACCCUGUAACAGCUGAGAGGAAAAUGGAAGAAACGGAGAUACUUUUAGUGAAACAGAAUAAACCACUGAACAGGAAAAAUGAGGAAGCUGUGAGUACCAGUGGAAGGAACGAGCCGGGAAGAGGGACUGGAACCAUCUCAGAAGCCAUGCCCCUCAGGUUGGAACUUGCCCUGUCUCCUCGCAGAUGAGGUAGGAGGCUCAGCACGGGCUGGUGGGAGCAGCCCACAACAGCAGUGAGGGUCAGUGGGCCUGUGAGUUAAGAAGAAGGUGGCACAGAGCGAGGGUCUCUGGAUCCUGACUGUUUGACUUUUCCAUGAUUAGGAUAAGUAGCCAGGGAUUGGCUAGUUGGAGAGUUACUCGAACCUCAGGUGACAGUUGUAAGGCAGCACGUAGUGAAAAAGAGUCCUAGCCUGGGAAAG